CAUAAUAAUAUUCCUUUAUACAAUUUUCGUAUCCAGCUGCAGUGAUAUCCUACAGUUAUCAAAAACUCUCCUCUUCAAUACAUUAUAUGACUCUUCAACUGUUUUUUUGUUUUUAUUAUACAGUUAUUCAGUAUACCAGGAUAUGUAUACCAUUAUUGCUGUAAAAAGCACGUGGUGUAUGAUGGGCGUGGACAAGUUGUGUGUUUACCAAUAAGAUAAUAAACAUUAAAACAGGUAUUUUUAAAAUAACAUAAAACAACGUUAAAAUUGAAAAGAAAUGCUGUCACUUUUCACGGUUCGUUGCUGAAAUCGUCGCUAUCCUUUCGAUUUUAUCGUGUGAUCUCUAAGAGCAGACAUUUUGCCAAGAUAAACUCCUAAAACAACAGUUUAUAGUGUGUCAAUCUAGUAAACAAACAUUGAUCCUUUACCUGGGUCUGACCGUCAUACGACAUGGGCUUGGACAAUAAACUGACAUGCGCGAUUUCAAAAUGUCAGCGUCGUAUUUCCUCGAGUUUUACUUACAUUCCAGGUGAAAAAAUCCCCUAAAGGGGCAUUGUCAAACUCCUUACGAAAACAAAUGGAUCGUUAGGUCACCACGUGACGGGGUGAGAAAGGGAGCCCGGCGGUUGGAGAGCCACGCCGAACUAAGCCCUUGUCUAAACACUUUCUGCCACAAAAAACGAGUCGGGCGCUAAUUAGUUUAGUGGUGUCGGCCUAUUAAGGGGUCUGAGACCGUGUGAACCCUUUGUAACACCGACUGAUAAUCCAUUUGUAUCGUCCGCACGUUAUAAUUAACGGUUAUUGUUUAUUUGCGCCGCGGGAUCCCCUCCGGACACGUUUUCCGCGCCAUCAUAGGGAGCCGAUCACGUAACAAACAGCAUGAUGUCGCUACUUCCGGUCCUUAUUUGUUAUUUUUUACACCUUCUCUUUGCGUCAGAUGAAGAGCAUUCGACAAUUUUCUCCCUUUGAAGAAAACUACCCCGGAAUGCAAUUAACAGUUUCAAUAGGUGUAUUAUUAAGCAUAUAGAAAUACCUGUAUAUGAUCAAAUAAUAAAUAAUAUUAUAACGCCGAACGGUGUUCAGUCAAUGUGUGAAAUUUAAAACAGUGCUAUCUCAAUUAUUAUUGUUAAAUUUUUUUAAAGUCUAAAUUCUUGAAAAAUUUUGAAAUUGGUUAUCCUGAAUUAUUGAGAGUAAUGAAAAGUGUCAUGAAAUACAUUAAGAAGAAGCGAAGAGAGGUUAUAUGUCAAUGUUUCCUGACGAACGCAUGAAGGGUCAUGAUUAAUAGAGUUUAUAAACAGAGAUUAUCAACAGAUCAAUACAUCGAUUUUAUGAUGUCCCGGUCGAAAGGUAAACUGGCGUCUUCCAUUGGAAUGUUUAAGAUACAGAAGUAUCAUAUUUAAAAACCGUGUCCCUAACGGUAUGUAUGUUUAGGGAGCUGUACAGGCCAGGAUAAAAGGGCGGGGAUUUGGAAAGUUAAUCGAAGGAAUUGUACUGAUCAACCCAGAGUUUCUAGAAAAGCGGGAUUAUUCGCACCUAGGGACUGGUCGGAAUGUCAAUUACAUUUCCGCAGUUGUCUGGGUUCUUUUAAUGCACCGUAGCUGCUUGAAUACGUUAGUGAAGUACGAUUAUAACUCUGGUAAUUGGAAAGUUAAUCGUGGAAACACUAGUCUUGUUAGAAAAGCAAAACAAAUUCUAGCAAAUAUAGCCCCGUGUUACCGUGAAAACAUACGUCGAUGAAUAAUUCAUUAAAUGUCGACUUGCGCGUUAGAUUUCUCACUUAAUCUGUUUAUAACAAGGAAUGGCAAAAUACACUUUUUAUUUAUGUCUUUUCUCUUUGAAAUAUGAUCUUAUACAUACAUUGCAAAAGUGUUGAAAAAUGGCAUAAAUAUCUUAUAUUGAAAAGUUUAUUCUAUCCGUGUGACCAGGUCAGUAAUUUGCGAUGUAUAUAAUACAUGAACAUGGCUUAUGAUAUAUCUGUGUAUAAAUCUGAUAACAGCAAUUAUCCCAUUAUGAACGGUUAUGCCUGUGGCAUUUUACAAUUUGAAAACAAUUUUCUAGUUGUAGCUAGAUAUCUAUGAUAUAUAGGUUCCUUUUUUUCCCGUGCGUUCUUCAAAGACAAAAUAUGGAUUUCCCUUUCAAUAUUAAUUAAUAAUAAUUAUUAUAUGUAGCUAUAGUAUUGUCACUCUAGAUGUCCAUACAUAACUGAACACACGAGAAAGACGAAGUUUAUCUUUUCAUCUUUUUUUUUUAAUUAUUAUUUUCUUAUUCAAAUGAUUUACGCUUGUGUUAGAGGAAUUUGUAUAUAUGGCCUAUUGACCUACAGAAAUGUUUAACAUCGCUUCCUUGCACUCCCGCGUUAAUCCUUUUUGGUAAAAGUUUUAUAUUUUUGCUUGCGGACAAAAUUCCCCGCCGAAUUCUGUUAUGUUUUCAUAGCCUUGUUCCUCCAGCUCACACUAUUUCCAUAUAAUUUCAAUUAUAAUUUGGGGAAUUACAAACAAAGUUUUAGUAAGUUGUUACAAAAACACACCAUGAAUUUAAAUCCUUGGCCGGAAUAUUGUACGUUGACAGAGGGCGCUGUUGUCUUCGGUAGUUCUCGUUUAAGUCGACUGAGGGCGCUGUAGUUUUCUACCUUGCUUUUAACUGCAGAGGGCGCUGUUACUUUCUUUCUAGUUGAUAGUACAUUUACACAUUUAAUGUUUUCAUUGUAAGUCGGCAGAGGGCACUGUUGUUGCCCUUUUCGUUUGUAGCACAUAUCUAUACAAAUUGAAUGUCCCAAAUUUGUAAGUCGACAGAGGGCGCUUUUGCUUUCUCUCUCGUUUGUAGAGCAGUGCAUAUAUACAAACAUUGAAUGUCGACAGAGGGCGCUUGUAGUUUUUUGUUUCUCGUUUGUUGUAAAUGUCUUGUAGUAGUCGUGUUUUAAGUCCGCAGAGAGCGCUGUUGUUUUCGCUCUCGUUUGACAAAUGAAUGUAAGAUAUUUAUAUCUUAAGUCGCUGAGUAGAUAAGCUGAUUACAGGUUGAACCCUAGGACCGCCAUCAUUAUUUCUCGGCAUGUCGCAUGUAGGUGGCGAAAUAAGUAGAUCUCUCUCAAGAGCAAAUAGCGUAUGUAAAUAACCAGGGCCCACUCCGAUCUCCUGGCUGACCAAAUACCAUUAGGUAAUAUGGCCUCUUAGUAGCGGUAUACCUGAAGGCUAGAUUAUUUAAAUAAACACCACAUUUUAUGUACAGUAGCAAUUCUUGUCCAAAUAGGUAUCCAUUUCUACGCUUAAUGGACGUCUGUGAGUUCCGCCAAUGGAAGUAAGGCGAUUUCUGUCUAUUGGGCCAAUACUAAAUAUGCAUUGAUCACUGCUUCGGGUUAUUUACAUACAAGGAACAAUGGGGCAGAUAGUUUCGCUCAGCCAUCAUACGGAAACACUGUUAAACUGAACAAAUUGAAUUAUAUCAUAACUAAAUGCAUUUGUACUAAAUACUCGUUAAAUAUCAUAUUCAUAGUUAGUUGAAUGAAUAGCUGUAACGAGCCGAAAUCCCGAGCCAAUUGUUCGAACUCGCUGGCAAUGCUAAGUCCCCCAGUGUUAUUGGUGUGCUGGUAUUGUAUAGAAGAGCGUGAAAAUCCAUAGACGGCUCUCCAUUGAGCUAGUAUGAAAAGAAUUUUCGCCUAUUAUCUGGUAGUACAAAAUAUAUUGUUGGGUUUCUGAAAGAGACGUUUCUUUAUCUCGUUACAUAUUACAUUGCCUAAGAGAGCCUUCCAUUUAAAAUGGAGAAUAAAAGUUUAUUGAUAACAUACAAUUAGCCGCCAAGGCGCUUUAUAGGAGAGUAUUUUACUAGCAUUUGUAGCAUUAAACCCGAAACAUGUGGACGUUCGAGCCAUUGCUAAAUGUUGUGACUUACAGGAUCUGGAUACAUUCAUAUUUGUACAAAUGGAUAUAUACAUAUAUAGAUAUAUUUAUUUAAAAUACUCUUAUAUUUGAUGAUGGAUUUUAGGUCGGUGUACAUAUAGCCAGCACUGUUCCGAGUGUAAGGAGAAGAAACAAAUCCUUCAGCAUUGACUUUCGUAGAUGACAGACGAAGAGAUUUAUCAACAUUUCUCUGAAAAUGGUAGAUUUCGUCGCCAGGGAUGAAGCAGGUGGGACCGUGUGAAAAUGUGGAUUUCUGAAUGAGAAAUUGGCCCUAACGACAGGGAGUCCUAUCGAUGUACCUCCUUAAUUUCUACUUUAUUUUUCUGACUAGGGAGUCUAAAAUUUCUGCCUUUUUAGACGCCUCCCUCAACAUCUUUGUUGUUUUCCGAUAAGGUAGUUUAUAAGUUCAAUUCAAUUUAACUUUAUUCCGUCAGUUUUACAACUUAUUUGAUAACAUAGUAUACAAACAUUAAAGGACACAGUGACCCACUCUUACAUAAUUCAUCAGUCAUUCUACAAAAUAGUACUUACUGUCUUCACAUACAUUUACAGUCAACAAAAAUAUUUUUUACAACCGUCUUAAAGAACAAUAACAAUUGAUUUAUUAUUGAUCUAAUAAGUUGAAAAUGAAUAUAUUUUGUAUUAUCUAUGUCCUAUACGUGUAUCUCGCCAAUUUGUUUUUAUUUUGCGAUCAGAGAGUCUAAGAUCUCGUGCCUAGUUAAACACCUCUCCAUUUUCUUUUAUUGCCUGAUCGACCUUUAUGUCCAGUGUUUAAAUACCGCAGUGUCGUUGUCCUGCUGAACAUUGCUUUGUACAUAAUAUUUCUGGGGUUUUUUUGUUUGUUUUUUAUUUUUUUGCUUUUUUGUUUUUUGUUUUUGUUUUUUUGUUUUGCCUUUUUUCGAUAUUUAUAUUAACAUUGAAUUCAAUGUUUUUACUCGUCGUAGUUUUGCUGUUAACCCUUAAAAUCUUGUUUAUCUUUAAAGCUUCUUGGUGUUAAAACUAAAAGUGUUCAAAUCGACAUUAAAGUUUUGUUCUUAUUUAACACAAUUAUUUUAUAAAUAUUUCCUGUUGAAAUUGAUUUUCUUUACCCUGUGUUUAACACUUUAUCAAUAAUCAGUA